UUUUUUUUUAAACACAAAGUGUUUAAAAAGACUUAACACGACAUAAAUAAACAUCGUAAACUAAAAUCUACCAGACAUAUGCAAAGAACGCCAUCAGGAGGAGCAGUGGGUCUCUAGAGUGAUUGGGUAUUCGUCGCAGAAUGGGAGCGACAAUUAUAGUGCGCAGCAAAUACUGGGUGUUCCAGAUGUGUACCCUAGAUACGAGAAGGCCAUUAGUGCAUGGGCCCCAGAUGUCAUCGACAGAAACCAGUUC